UUGGAGUAUGAUGAGUUGCACCGAGGGGGCGAGGCGGUGCUGUGUACUGCCAAACCCAACAGACCCAGACUGGUGACAGAACCAUGUGCACAGGGGCCAUCUGACUCCAU
rnacentral:snoRNA from 1 species